rnacentral:lncRNA from 1 species
AUAUGCAACCUGGAUCCCUCGUGUGUGCAAUUCACAACAGGGUUCAUGCUCCUGUAAGAAUCUAAUGAUGCUGCUGAUCUGACAGGAGGCAGAGCUCAGGCAGCAAUGCAAGCAAUGGGGAGCAGCCAGAAAUACAGACGAAGCUUCAAUUGUUACCCACCAUUCACCUCCUGCUCUGUGGCCCAGUUCCUAACAGGCCACAGACCAGUACAUGUCCAUGGCCCAGGGGUCAGGGACCCUGCUGUGGCACAUUGCUUAAUAGAGGACUGUAGCAGCCAUGUGCCCUGACCUUUCCUUUUUUUUUUUUUUUUUUUUUUUUUGAGAUGCCAGAAACCCAGAAUUUUUUUUUUUUUUUUUU